UUUGAGCUGAACUCGGCUCGCGGCCGUGAGCGAUGAAGCCCGGCUUGGCAGAAUGCCACCGGAAAGCGGUCACACACCAAAACACAGCGAUUUCUCGGGAAAAAACUAUAAGCGCUGUUAAUUUCACAGUUUGCAUGAUUUGCAUAAACCGGUACUGUUGGCUUAGUUCAAUUGUGUUAAACGUGCUAAGUGAUCCAGACUUUGUCUUUAAAAUUAGGUCAGCAGUUGAUUGCAAUCUUUAGUGACAGAUGAGUAUCGCAGUUGGAAUUGAUUACUGAUGAGUGUUUUGUAGCAAACUCUGAAUGGAUGCUGUAUAUCCUGCAGCGGCGUCCGCGCUGUCGCGAGGGCGGCGCCGUCGGAGGGCAGAGCCUCGACACAGACACCACACCAUGCCUGUGACCUUCGCUGAAAUCAAGGAAGUGGAUGAAGAUAAGGAUGUAGAGGAGCAAGUGUCCAGUGCGAGUAUCACUAACGUGUCCACGGAGGAGAGACGACGACGACCCGACGUGUUCGACGAGUCGCUGAGCCGCCAGUUCGUCGAGUUCCGCAACCGACGAAACCGUCGUCGACGAGAAGUCAUUCACGAACUCGACGAGUGUCAACCGGAAGAGAAUCGUGCUCACAGUGAACCCUGUUCGGAGAGUACGAGCAGCACGGCGCCUACCUAGUCCAUAAAGUAUUAUUGUGGAUAAGGAUAGAUAUUUUUAUAGCUAAUCGUCGAAAGGCCAUCACACACUGACCUGUAUAAAUACCACCGUACAUUCUGUUCCAUAUGUUUCACAGUAAUUUAUUUGUGCCUAUUUGCAGCGCCACUCGCGAGUGUCCAGAGAACAAGUUUUGACGUAUAAUACAAAUGGCUGCGAGAGAAGCGUACAAUACUCUGAAGUAUUUUUGCAUUUUGAAUUAAUUUCGGUCGUUUUCCGUGUUAUUAAUAUGUAUAAUUUUUUAAUUAAGGAAUUUACUUAAUAAAGUACACAUUUUUUUUGGAAAUAGUUUCCUAUCGAUGUUUGUUUAGCUGAGGUUGUCAAUACUGGUUUUAGUACCGCAGACUCUCGCUACAUGGCCAACAGCGCCAAAAGCGAAUAUCAAACAGGCACAAAAGAAGUUUGACAGCCACCAUUCCAGUGGUACAUAGUAGAGGUCAGUGUCGUCACAUUUCAGAAAUAAUAAUAAUAUUGUGAUAAUUUGACGUUGACCAGAGACAGAAUGGCGUGUACAAUAAAUGUAAGUAAAGUAAUAUCCUAUAAGACCCUAGUAUCAAAAUGAUUAAAUAAUAUAAUUUUACUGGCGUAGAUAUCUGUAUUAUGAAUUAUUCUUUUAGUGUUUUGCUGUCCUUGAAUAUAAUUUUAAAUUAAUAAGAUUUUCGUUAUAAAGAAUAAGUAAUACUACAAGUAGGUAGUUGUACUAAUAUAAAUUCUUUGGUUGUACUUGCAGACUAAUUAUUUAAUGACAGAUGAUUGCUAUCUUGUCUAGGUGACAUAUUAUUUUAAAUACAAUAUGUUAACAUUAAUAAAUAAUAUAUUGUUUUGUUAUCAUAGUCCAACAUUACUGCCGUAAUUUUUAUAUAUAUACAGAUAUAGGAUUAAGUAUGAAAUUCUCGGUUUGUAUAACAUCUUUUGUACGGUAAGACUUAUUUAUUUAAUCUUAAUAACCUUCACUAUUAUUUGUUCUUUAUCACGGCAAGGUCAUUUAUGCUUUUUCGGUAGAACUCUGGUGAACUGGACUCAAUAAACUUUGUGAAGUUAUUUUGUAUUUCUCCUUCAGAAGAUUCUUUUCACCAUGUAAAAAAUUGUGUAAUGUACUUUGAAAUUGUGGAAAACAUAGUCGGUUGGGGAGAGGCUAUGGUUUCCCGAGCCACUUGAGUUCUUGCGCUAUCAUGUAUGUAUAAUAAUGGUGAAGAUUGCUUGACGAAUUGGGCUGAGUUACUUGUGAGUUUUGCCAUAAUUUUGUCGAAGUUCUGUACAAUAAAAUUUUCUAUUCACCCACUACAUUCACACACAUUUCACCCCAAAAUCCUUCAUUAUUUACCUUAGUUUUUGGCCUUUUUCGAUGUUUAUUCUUCAAUUCGAAUUCGUUUCCUCAAAGCGUCCGUUAGCCGUAACGCCUUAUUUUAGAUUACAUUGCGAGCUGUUAAAAGUUGUACCUACUAGGUAUUACGUAUUCUUUGCCGAAAGUCGUAUUAAAAAAUUUCUCUAAUUGGAGGAAAUUUUCGUUGAAUCGAAACAUCUUUGCUUUUAAAGCCGAUUGAAAUGAAUUCAAUAUACAUAUACACAAUACAAAGUUGUACAUUUUCAAAUCUAGUAUGUAAUUGUUAUGCGAAAAAAGUUUAAUUUUGAAAACUCUCGUCAAGGAGCUUUUAUGAGAAUCAAAAAUAACCACCUGUAUAAUGCAUUUAAAAAAACAUCCAAAAACUUGGAAUUUUUUCUUUGUGUGCCUUUUAUUCAACAAACUAAUAAAGAUAAGUUAUUUUAGUAUUAAAAUUGAAUUAGCCAUUUUGAGUAACAUUUAUUUAUAUGUAGGUACUUAUAUAAUUCGCUAACGUCCCUUAUUAAUUAUAAAAUUCACAAGUCGUUAGAUGUUGUAAGUUUGGUAGCGUGAAAAGUGACAUUAUAAUUUUACUGUUGUUCUAAAUCAGCUCUUAAACUUACUGUGCUUAUUCUGCUGAGAGUAGAGAAUUGGUAUUUGUAAGUAUUUGCUUAUAAUAAUAAAAUUGUGUAUUUCGUAUUCGUUAUGUUGUUAGUUAAUUAAAUUAUGUACAAUUAUGAA